UACAGAGGUCUCAAGCGUUGUUCGGAUUUAUUGGGCGUAAAGGGUGCGCAGGCUGUAUGGUAAGUUUGGUGUGAAAUCCUGGAGCUCAACUCCAGAAUUGCACUGAAUACUGCCGUGCUAGAGGACUGGAGAGGAGAUUGGAAUUUACGGUGUAGCGGUGAAAUGCGUAGAUAUCGUAAGGAAGACCAGUGGCGAAGGCGGGUCUCUGGACAGUUCCUGACGCUGAGGCACGAAGGCCAGGGGAGCAAACGGG
rnacentral:rRNA from 1 species